rnacentral:lncRNA from 1 species
GGACCAAUUAGAGAUCACAGGGUACUUCGAUUCUGAUUUUGCUGGGUAUCAAGAUAGUAGAAGAUCCACAUCAGGCUAUAUCUCUCUGUUGGCUGGAGGAGCUAUUUCUUGGAAGAGUGUUAAGCAAACACUCAUAACUUCUUCUACCAUGGCAGCAGAGUUUGUAGCAUGCUAUGAGGCAUCUAACCAUGAAAUAUAGCUGUGAAAUUUUGUCAUUGGGCUGUGCAUUCUGAAUGGAAUAGAAAGACUACUAAAGUUAGAUUGUGAUAAUAACUCGCCAGUUCUAUAUUCUAACAACAACAGGAGCUCGUCUAAGUCAAAAUACAUUGACAUUAAAUUCCUGAUUGUGAAGAAAAGAGUACGGAGUGGACAGAUUCUAUAGAGCACAUUGGAACAAACUCUAUGAUUGCGGAUCCGCUCACUAAAGGAUUACCACCCAAGGUCUUUCAUGAGCACAUUGCUCGCAUGGGUGUUGUAUUUCUUGAGAAAAUCAUGUUUUAGUGAGAGUUUGUAUUCUCAUUGUUUUAUAUUUAUUUUGGACACAUUUGUGUGUUUGGAUAUUUUUCUGUACAGAAAUAAAGCAUUCGGUUCAUUCCACUCUGUUAUUAUGUUCAGUAUUGAUCGCACUUAAGAAAUAAGGUUGGACCAAUUGGAAAUAGACAUGUUUGGAUCACAUAACAUGUAAUUUUCA